CCGGAAAUGAGGUAACUCCUCGCGACGGUAACCCAGGAAACUGGUAAAUAGGGAGCGCGGUGGUUAGUUAUGUCCCUCUUAGAGAGUAACACAUACUGCAUAUCAAAGUGAUGGUGCCAUUUGAUGUCUUGCUGGCAAAAGAGCAGCAGGGUUUCAAAGAGAAGUACAAAUUUCCUCUCACAACCAGUCCUGGGGGAAACAAGCAGCAUGUGUCCCUCGUCUAUCACUGUCUCUGCCAUAGGUAACGCAGAGACAGGCUCUUCCUCCGUCUCCCUGGCACUCUGGGUGUCUUUUAAAUCUCCCGCAGCGGUGCCGGUGGCUGACAUCAUGAGCCUAGCGCUGCCCAGUUUGAUUGACAACUGGACCUUAUAGUGCAGCGGCAGCGCCAUGUGUCGCCGUGGCUCUGCCAUUUCCUGCCCAAGAGGCUUCUACUAAGGACAUGAUAACUGAUUUUGCUGAGAAGCAUGAUGAAUAUUUAAUAUUCCUUCAGCAGAGAAACCGCAUAUUGAGGCAUUUAAAAAAAAAAGGAUCCCAUGCAAAUCAAACUGGAGCAUUUAGAACAAGGAUUUUCUCUUUAUGUAAAUGGUGCUAAUUCAGAGCUGAGAAACUACCCCAGAAAAUCCAGCUCACAAGCCUCUCUCAGAAGUGAGCUAAAGAGUACAAAGAGAAAUGAUUCUCUACCACCAGUUCAGAUAGAAGAACUUGAACUGUUAGGAUGCAGUGCACAGACUGCAUCAAGCAAAAUUCAACGUAAAGGAUGGCUUCAGGUAUGGAGUAAUGCAGAAGAAUGUAUUGUUAUUCCUAUCUCCUAGUAGUGCUCCUAGCUCUAGUGCUAGGUGUAUAUAAAUACAGUUUCCUUAGCCUGAGCUAUAAUCAGUAUGUCAUUCUUGCAUCAUUGGACAGCAGUCCAUAUUACAUAUUGGUAGUGGACAUUCUCUCUACAGGGAAGAGCCUCAUCAGCAGCCUCACAGUUGUUUGCUUUACAUUGGAAAAGAGUAACUUCUAAAAACUUGCACGUAAUCAAAUGAACUGAAUAUGCUGGUGAAUUAAAAAUGAAAUACGAUAUGGUAGAGUGUUUUUGGACAUGCUUGUGAGUGACAAGAUGGCUACCCUUACCAUAAGCAGUUGGUGCCUGUAGUUUCUAUGGCAUAACUCAAAUAAAAUAUGAGUGCUCAGGACUAAUAGUAUUUUUAAUGAUAUCUCUAUAGGAAGAGAGACAUGAUUGUCAGCUACUGUUCUUUAAAGAGGCAGCAAAAAAACCCCUCACCACGGACAAUUGGGCAGAACAACAGAACACAUCCCCGCAGCCAUUUUUAAGCUCGGGAAUGCUGUUACACAAGAUGCUGGAGUCUGCUGGAGCAUGGUAAUUACCAUACUCCUCCAGGGUUGAUUAAUCGAGCCUGCUUCAUUACAGCGCAUUGGAACAGCCUCACUGCUUGUGUAUAGGCACCCACUGGGUGUGUCCACAUGUGCAUUUAUGCUGUCUUGAAUUUACUGCGUGGUAAGUUACUGCGCAGUAAGCAGUAAUAGGCUGGCGUCUAUACAUGUAGCCAUUAAAGCACAUUAACACUGUGUGUGGACUGACUUCAUAGAUUUCAUAGACAUUAGGACUGGAAGGGACCUUGGAAGAUCAUUGAG